AGUGAACGCUGGCGGCGUGCCUAAUACAUGCAAGUCGAACGAUGAAGUCCUAGCUUGCUAGGAUGGAUUAGUGGCGCACGGGUGAGUAAUAUAUAGUUAAUCUGCCCUACACAGAGGAACAACAGUUGGAAACGGCUGCUAAUACCUCAUACUCCUAUUUGACAUAAGUUAAAUAGGGAAAGUCUUUUCGGUGUAGGAUGAGACUAUAUCGUAUCAGCUAGUUGGUAAGGUAAUGGCUUACCAAGGCUAUGACGCGUAACUGGUCUGAGAGGAUGAUCAGUCACAUUGGAACUGAGACACGGUCCAAACUCCUACGGGAGGCAGCAGUAAGGAAUAUUGCGCAAUGGGGGAAACCCUGACGCAGCAACGCCGCGUGGAGGAUGACACUUUUCGGAGCGUAAACUCCUUUUAUCAGGAAAGAAUAAUGACGGUACCUGAUGAAUAAGCACCGGCUAACUCCGUGCCAGCAGCCGCGGUAAUACGGAGGAUACGAGCGUUAUCCGGAUUUAUUGGGUUUAAAGGGUGCGCAGGUGGUCCUGCAAGUCAGUGGUGAAAAGCUGAGGCUCAACCUCAGCCUUGCCGUUGAAACUGCAAGACUUGAGAGUACAUGAUGUGGGCGGAAUGCGUAGUGUAGCGGUGAAAUGCAUAGAUAUUACGCAGAACUCCGAUUGCGAAGGCAGCUCACAAAGGUAUGUCUGACACUGAGGCACGAAAGCGUGGGGAGCAAACAGG
rnacentral:rRNA from 1 species